rnacentral:rRNA from 1 species
GACGAACGCUGGCGGCGUGCCUAAUACAUGCAAGUUGAGCGCUGAAGGUUGGUACUUGUACCAACUGGAUGAGCAGCAAACGGGUGAGUAACGCGUGGGGAAUCUGCCUUUGAGCGGGGGACAACAUUUGGAAACGAAUGCUAAUACCGCAUAAAAACUUUAAACACAAGUUUUAAGUUUGAAAGAUGCAAUUGCAUCACUCAAAGAUGAUCCCGCGUUGUAUUAGCUAGUUGGUGAGGUAAAGGCUCACCAAGGCGAUGAUACAUAGCCGACCUGAGAGGGUGAUCGGCCACAUUGGGACGGAGACACGGCCCAAACUCCUACGGGAGGCGGCAGUAGGGAAUCUUCGGCAAGGGACGAAAGUCUGACCGAGCAACGCCGCGUGAGUGAAGAAGGUUGUCGGAUCGUAAAACUCGGUUGGUAGAGAAGAACGUUGGUGAGAGUGGAAAGCUCAUCAAGUGACGGUAACUACCCAGAAAGGGACGGCUAACUACGUG